rnacentral:misc_RNA from 1 species
AACCAUAGAAACCUGCGGAGUACCUGCGGAGGGAUCAUUAAAGAUUGACCGAAAGGUCUUAUCUCUAUAUCCCUCACCUCUGUGAACUGUGGACCUCCGGGUCUAUUUAACAAACAUCAGUGUAAUGAACGUAUAUAUCAUUAAACAAAACAAAACUUUCAGCAAUGGAUCU